GACAGGACAGAGGAGGUAAGAGCUGUUCAUACCACUCAGACAUACUGACAGGACAGAGGAGUUAAGAGCUGUUCAUACCACUCAGACAUACUGACAGGACAGAGGAGGUAAGAGCUGUUCAUACCACUCAGACAUACUGACAGGACAGAGGAGGUAAGAGCUGUUCAUACCACUCAGACAUACUGACAGGACAGAGGAGGUAAGAGCUGUUCAUACCACUCAGACAUACUGACAGGACAGAGGAGGUAAGAGCUGUUCAUACCACUCAGGCAUACUGACAGGACAGAGGAGUUAAGAGCUGUUCAUACCACUCAGACAUACUGACAGGACAGAGGAGGUAAGAGCUGUUCAUACCACUCAGACAUACUGACAGGACAGAGGAGGUAAGAGCUGUUCAUACCACUCAGACAUACUGACAGGACAGAGGAGGUAAGAGCUGUUCACACCACUCAGACAUACUGACAGGACAGAGGAGGUAAGAGCUGUUCAUACCACUCAGACAUACUGACAGGACAGAGGAGGUAAGAGCUGUUCACACCACUCAGCUAAACUGGACUGGUUCCACAGAGGAGUUAAGAGCUGUUCACACCACUCAGCCAAACUGGACUGGUUCCUUAGAGGAGUUAAGAGCUGUUCAUACCACUCAGCCAAACUGGACUGGCCUGGUUCCACAGAGGAGGUAAGAGCUGUUCACACCACUCAGCCAAACUAGACUCUAUAAAUAUCUCUUCAAGGUUCGGCCCUAUAAAGAUUUCUUCAAGGUUCGGCCAUAAAUUAGACUCUAUAAAGAUCUCUUCAAGGUUCGGCCAUAUAAAAGGACAAACAGACUGGAGUAACGGGUUACUUCCUGGUUCCAAUCACUCCAACGUUAGUGUGUGAAUACUGAAGAUUGCUGGUGUGGGCUGGAGAAAUGGCUUUGACUUUGACAUUGUAGCAGUGUUCACCUCUGAUUACAUUUCUCCAUUGUGGGCUGUUGGAAGGGCUGGAGGAAACACUGUUCUCUAUACUGGGCCAUUGUGUUAUGAACAGUGUACAAGUCAAGUGUGACAAACAUACCUAACCGGUAUGUAUAUACUGUACAUCAUAGAACAGAAGGGCUGAAGAAAGACUCUUCACUAAACAGUGUGUUUGGUGUU
rnacentral:lncRNA from 1 species